rnacentral:rRNA from 1 species
GAUGAACGCUAGCGGCAGGCCUAAUACAUGCAAGUCGAACGGUGUCUUCGGACAUAGUGGCGCACGGGUGCGUAACACGUAUGCAACCUACCUUACAUUGGGGGAUAGCCUUUCGAAAGGGAGAUUAAUACCGCAUAAGACAGUAGCUGGGCAUCCAGCAGCUGUUAAAGAUUUAUCGAUGUAAGCUGGGCAUGCGUCCAAUUAGCUAGUUGGUGAGGUAACGGCUCACCAAGGCAAUGAUUGGUAGGGGAACUGAGAGGUCAAUCCCCCACACGGGCACUGAGAUACGGGCCAGACUCCUACGGGAGGCAGCAGUAGGGAAUAUUGGGCAAUGGACGCAAGUCUGUCCCAGCCAUGCCGCGUGCAGGAUGAAGGCGUUAUGCGUUGUAAACUGCUUUUAUACAGGAAGAAACGACUCUUGCGAGAGGCAUUGACGGUACUGUAUGAAUAAGCACCGGCUAACUCCGUGCCAGCCGCCGCCGUAAAAC